GGAGGUCAUUGCUAUUGGAGUCCGAUUUAGCCAUGCUAGUUGCACGAGUUCAGACUCGUAGUAGAUAGCUCAGUAACACGUGGCCAAACUACCCUAUGGAUCCGAUAACCUCGGGAAACUGAGGCUAAUUCGGGAUACGAUUCAUAACCUGGAGUGGUGUGAAUCCGAAACGCUCCGGCGCCAUAGGAUGUGGCUGCGGCCGAUUAGGUAGACGGUGGGGUAACGGCCCACCGUGCCUAUAAUCGGUACGGGUUGUGAGAGCAAGAGCCCGGAGACGGUAUCUGAGACAAGAUACCGGGCCCUACGGGGCGCAGCAGGCGCGAAACCCUUACACUGCACGCGAGUGCGAUAAGGGGACUCCAAGUGCGAGGGCAUAUAGUCCUCGCUUUUUGCGACCGUAAGGUGGUCGCGGAAUAAGUCCUGGGCAAGACCGGUGCCAGCCGCCGCGGUAAUACCGGCAGCACGAGUGAUGACCGCUAUUAUUGGGCCUAAAGCGUCCGUAGCUGGCCGUGCAAGUCUAUCGGGAAAUCCGCGCGCUUAACGCGCGGGCGUCCGGUGGAAACUGCACGGCUUGGGACCGGAANACCAGAGGGGUACGUCCGGGGUAGGAGUGAAAUCCCGUAAUCCUGGACGGACCACCGGUGGCGAAAGCGCCUCUGGAAGACGGAUCCGAUGGUGAGGGACGAAUGCUCGGGUCACGAACCGGAUUAGAUACCCGGGUAGUCCGAGCUGUAAACGAUGCCUGCUAGGUGUGGCACAGGCUACGAGCCUGUGCUGUGCCGUAGGGAAGCCGUGAAGCAGACCGCCUGGGAAGUACGUCCGCAAGGAUGAAACUUAAAGGAAUUGGCGGGGGAGCACUACAACCGGAGGAGCCUGCGGUUUAAUUGGACUCAACGCCGGACAUCUCACCAGCAUCGACAAUGUGCAGUGAAAGUCAGGUUGAUGACCUUACUGGAGCCAUUGAGAGGAGGUGCAUGGCCGCCGUCAGCUCGUACCGUGAGGUGUCCUGUUAAGUCAGGCAACGAGCGAGACCC
rnacentral:rRNA from 1 species